rnacentral:rRNA from 1 species
GCACGUGGUUUAAUUCGAUGCAAACCGAAGAACCUUACCUGGGUUUGACAUGUGCGUGUUACUGAGGUGAAAGCCGAGGGACCAUAUCUUCGGAUGUGGAGCGUACACAGGUGCUGCAUGGCUGUCGUCAGCUCGUGUCGUGAGAUGUUGGGUUAAGUCCCGCAACGAGCGCAACCCUGCAUUCAGUUGCCAACGGUAAGGCCGGGCACUCUGGAUGGACUGCCGGCGACAAGCCGGAGGAAGGUGGGGAUGACGCCAAGUCAUCAUGGCCCUUAUGUCCAGGGCGACACACGUGCUACAAUGGCCGGCACAGCGGGAAGCGAGGGGGCGACCUUGAGCGGAUCCCUCAAAGCCGGUCUCAGUUCGGAUUGCAGUCUGCAACUCGACUGCAUGAAGUUGGAAUCGCUAGUAAUCGUGGAUCAGCCAAGCCGCGGUGAAUACGUUCCCGGGCCUU